GACGAACGCUGGCGGCGUGCUUAACACAUGCAAGUCGAACGGAAAGGCCCCUUUGGGGGUACUCGAGUGGCGAACGGGUGAGUAACACGUGAGUAACCUGCCCUUGACUUCGGGAUAACUUCAGGAAACUGGGGCUAAUACCGGAUAGGAAUCCUUGCUGCAUGGUGGGGGUUGGAAAGCUUCGGCGGUUUUGGAUGGACUCGCGGCUUAUCAGCUUGUUGGUGGGGUAGUGGCUUACCAAGGCUUUGACGGGUAGCCGGCCUGAGAGGGCGACCGGCCACAUUGGGACUGAGAUACGGCCCAGACUCCGACGGGAGGCAGCAGUGGGGAAUAUUGCACAAUGGGCGGAAGCCGGAUGCAGCAACGCCGCGGGCGGGAGGACGGCCUUCGGGUUGGAAACCGCUUUCAGCAGGGGCGAAGCUUGUGGUGACGGUACCUGCAGAAGAAGCACCGGCUAACUACGUG
rnacentral:rRNA from 1 species